AACGAACGCUGGCGGCGUGCUUAACACAUGCAAGUCGAGCGGUAAGGCCCUUUCGGGGGUACACGAGCGGCGAACGGGUGAGUAACACGUGGGUGACCUGCCCUCAGCUCUGGGAUAAGCCUGGGAAACCGGGUCUAAUACUGGAUAUGACUCCAUGACGCAUGUUGUGGGGUGGAAAGCCUUGUGCGGCUGAGGAUGGGCCCGCGGCCUAUCAGCUUGUUGGUGGGGUGAUGGCCUACCAAGGCGACGACGGUAGCCGGCCUGAGAGGCGACCGGCCACACUGGGACUGAGACACGGCCCAGACUCCUACGGGAGGCAGCAGUGGGGAAUCUUGCGCAAUGGGCGAAAGCCUGACGCAGCGACGCCGCGUGAGGGAUGACGGCCUCGG
rnacentral:rRNA from 1 species